rnacentral:lncRNA from 1 species
AAUAAUAAUAGGAACGCUGGCCAGGCGCAGUGGCUCACUCCUGUAAUACCAGCACUUUGGGAGGCCAAGGUGAGCGGAUUACGAGGUCAGGAGAUCGAGACCAUCCUGGCUAACACGGUAAAACCCCGUCUUUACUAAAAAUACCAAAAAAAUUUAGCUAGGCAUGGUGGGGGCGCCCGUAGUCCUAACUACUCGGGAGACUGAGGCAGGAGAAUGGCGUGAACCCGGGAGGCGGAACUUGCAGUGAGCUGAGAUCGCGCCAUUGCACUGUAGCCUGAGCGACUGAGCAAGACUCCGUCUCAAAAAUAAAUAAAUAAAUAAAAUAAAAAGAAUACUACUACUAAUAAUAAUAGGGACGCUGAGAAUAACAACUACGACCAGAACCGAACAGCGAAGGCGCCCCUGUUGUGUGUUAGAAGUCGGCGCCCCCCGAGUUCCGCAGCAGUCAACACCUGCCCAGGGCCCCCCUCGGCAGCCCCUCACAGCAGCCCCCGGGCUCCCAGAACCCCCAGGCGCUCCCGGAAGCCCCCAGUCGGUCCCCCACAGCCCCCUGGGGACCUUCUGCCCCGCCAGCCCCGCCCCGGAGCCCCCCGUCCGCCCCGCACAGCGGCCUCGGGUCCCCCUAACCGUCGCUCCGAGCCCCUCGAGCUCCCAAGCCCGCUUGGAGCCCCCUGUUGGCCCUUCACGACCUCCCCGAGCCCCCAAAGUCCACCGCCCACCCCGAUCCCGGCCCUCCAGGCCUGACCCAAGGCCCACACAGCAGCUCUGUCGGCUGGGAAGGCCUGCAGGCUGCAAGGCCGCGCGAAUGCCCCGGGCCAGCCCCAACCACUGUCCCUAGGCCAGCGGCGUCUCUUACUGGGAUUCGAAGACUGGACGGCUCCCCGGCGGCUCAGCGGCGGGGCGCGAGCGCUGCCCAUGCAGCCCGUGGCGGCGUUUCCCCGGCGGCGCUACCGCAGCGGGAAGGCGGAGCAGGCUCGAGGCCUGGCCGAAUUGCGGGCAGGCGGUAUGCUAGCCCGCCACUCGGCUGCGCGGCACCUGUUGCGGAGGACUACUGAGGGGGCAUCUGGCCGCAAGCUCACCGGAGGCGCCUCCCCAACUGAAGAUCUCGGUCCAUCUCAGGGUGGCCUCUGACUCUCCGACCCGGCGCUGGUGCAGGCUGCAUGAGAAGCUCUGGCCCAUUGUCCCCGCACCCCACACCCCUUAUCCGUCACAGCCAUUGGCCCGCCCCAGUUGGCCGCAGGGACUGAGCAAGUUAUGCGGUCGGGAAGACGUGCGUUAAAGGGCUGAAGGGGAGGGACGGAACUGACAGUCUCUGUGACAGCUCUGAGGUGGGAGUAGGAGGACGUCGCAUUGACGAUUGGGCAGGGUCCUGCGUAAGGGAGCACACGACCCUGGAAGUAGCGAGCAACCGGAUUGGCGGUUUCCUUCGCAAACGUCUUGCCUUCUGGGGCCUGGCAAUUGGUCUUUCCAAGUGUCGGAAGCGACGGGGAUAUGGUCUGGAAACAUCUGGUUUUGAACAUCUGGUAUUGAAGCGCUGGGAGGCAAAACGUCUGCCCCGCGCGCCCAUGCGGCGAGUGUCGGUCCGUGCCCCUGCUCAAGGACAGCUCGGGCCACGUGCGCCCCGGUCCCCAGAAGGCCUGGCUCCGGACUGUGCUGCCCUGGGGCGUCACUGGGCAAGGAGAGCAGUGGGUCGGCGUCGAGGGGAGGGGACCUGGGCUUCGGAGCGGUUGCUCCGGGUGGGCACUGGCCGCGCAACCCCUCUCCCGCGCAGAGACGCUAGCUCCACCGUGAGCGGGAACGGCCCUUGGGCGGGUUGUAGCGUUGGCUCCAGAUUCCCUGGGUCUCGCGCACUGAGAGCCUGAGCCGCCUGAGGGAGGCAAAGCGCCCUGGAGCCGCGUCCCCUGCCUUGCAAGUUAGUUCUCCAACACGCGAAAAGGGUAGAGAGAACUGAUGCGGUGACAGAAGCAUUGGGUGAAGUUCACUUGGCACCACCCAAUUUCUAAUUCAGCCAUAUUUUUCAUAGUUCUACAAACAAACGUCCAGCUGGGUCUGGGUGCUGUAAUCCCUGCACUUUGGGAGGCCCAGGCGAGAGGCUGUAUUGAAGCCAAGAGUUUGAGACCAGCCUGGGCAAAACAGCAAGACUCCAUCUCUACAAAAGUUUAAAAAAUUAUGUAGAUAUGAUGGUGUGUGCUGCUAGUCCCAACUACUUGGGAAGCUAAGACGAGAGGAUCGCUUGAGGCCAGGAAUUUGAGACCAGCCUGGACUCCAUGUAUAGAAAUAUGUAUGUGUGUGUGUGUGUGUAUUUAAAAAUAUAUAUGUGUAUGUGUGUGUAUAUGUGUGUGUUUAUAUGUGUGUGUAUAUAUGUGUGUGUUUGUGUGUGUAUAUAUAUAUAGAUGGGUGUGAUUGUGCACACUUGUGGUCCCAGCUACUUGGGAGGCUGAGGUAGGAGAAUCACUGAGCCUUGGAGGUUGAGACUCUAGUGAGCUAUGACUGCACCACUGCACUUCAGCCUGGCCAACAGAGCAAGACCUUGUCUUGCUCUGUUUUCAUAUAUAUAUAUGCUGGGUAUGGUGGCGCACACCUGUGGUCCCAGCCACUCAGGAGGCUGAGAUGGGAGGAUUGGUUGAGUCCAGGAGGUCAAAGCUGCAGUAAGCCAUGAUUGCACCAGUGCACUCUUUCCUGGGCCACGGCAAGACUCUGUCUCUAAAAAAAUAAAAGGGCACAGACACCCACAGAGGGAUGACCACGUGAGGAUGCAUUGCUUGAGCCUGGGAAGUUGUGGCUACACUGAGCUGUGAUCACGCCACUGCACUUACCAGGCUCAAGUGAUCCUCCUGCCCUAGCCUCCUAAGCAGGUGAGACCACAGUUUUGUGUCACCACUCCCGGCUAAUUAAUUAUUUGUAGAAAUGAAGUUCUAGGUUGCUCAGGCUGGUCUGAAAAUCCUGGGCUCCAGUGAUCCGCCUUGGCCUCCCAAAGUGCUGGGAUUAUAGGCAUGAGCCUCUGUGCCCAGACCAACUGAAUUCUUAAUUGGUGUCUUGGUAGUUCAUUAGUUAAUCUGCCUCAGUUUCCUUUAAAUGUUUGACCCUAGGCCGUGCACAGUGUCUCUGGCCUGUAAUUCCAACACUUUGGAGAGAAGUGUUUGGGAUACUGAGGUGGGCAGAUCACCAGAGGUUAGGAGUUCCAGACCAGCCUGGCCAACAUGGUGAAACCCUGUCUCUAUUAAAGAUACAAAAUUACCCAGGCGUAGUUGUGGGCACCUGUAAUCCCAGCCACUCGGGAGGCUGAGGCAGGAGAAUUCCUUGAACUCGGGAGGGAGAGGUGGGUAAGCUUCAGUUGCACCACUGCACUCCAGCCUGGGCAACGAGAGUGAAACUCUGUCUCAAAAACAAAACAAACUAAAAAAUACUGAGCUUGUCCUCUGGCUAAGCUCUAUUAAGAAGGUUGUGUGCUGUCAUCCUGUUGUACGUAUUUGAGAAAAGUUCUAGAUUUCACUUCUUGUCCAUCUUUCAUUUGAUCUUUAACAAAAAAACAAAUGGAGACAAGGUCUUGCUCUGUUGGCCAGGCUGAAGUGCAGUGGUGCAGUCAUAGCUCACUAGAGUCUCAACCUCCAAGGCUCAGUGAUUCUCCUACCUCAGCCUCCCAAGUAGCUGGGACCACAAGUGUGCACAAUCAAACCCAUCUAAUUUUUUUUUUUUUUCACUUUUUGUAGCAGUGAAGUCUUGAUCGCCUGGCUUCAAGUGAACCUCUGGAGAGACAGGACUAGCUGGAUUUUCUAGGCCAACUAAGAAUCCCUAAGCCUAGCUGGGAAGGUGACUACAUCCACCUUUAAACAUGGGGCUGGCAACUUAGCUCACACCCAACCAAUAAGGUAGUAAAGAGAGCUCACUAAAAUGCUAAUUAGGCAAAAACAGGAGGUAAAGAAAUAGCCAAUCAUCUAUUGCCUGAGAGCACAGAGGAAGGGACAAUGAUCGGGAUAUAAACCCAGGCAUUCAAGCCAGCAAUGGCUACCCUCUUUGGGUCCCCUCCGUUUGUAUGGGAGCUCUGUUUUCAUGCUAUUUUAAAGUCUUGCAACUGCACACUCUUCUGAUCCAUGUUUGUUACAGCUUGAGCUGAGCUUUUGCUCACCAUCCAGCAAUGCUCUUUGCCACCAUCACAGACCCGCCACUGACUUCCAUCCCUCUGGAUCCAGCAGGGUGUCAGCUGUGCUCUUGAUCCAGUGAGGCACCUGUUGCCACUCCCAGUUGGGCUAAAGGCUCACCAUUGUUCCUGCAAGGCUAAGUGCGCGGGUUUGUCUAGUUGAGCUGAACUAGUUGAGCUGGGUUCCACAGUUCUCUUCUGUGACCCAUGACUUCUAAUAGAGCUGUAACACUCACAGCAUGGCCCGAGAUUCCUACUUGGAAUGCAUGAGGCCAAGAACCCCAGGUCAGAGUAGAAGAGGCUCACCACCAUCUUGGAAGUGGCCCCCACCAUCUUGGGAGCUCUAGAAGCAAGUCCCCCUGGCAACCUUUUGGCAACCACAAAGGGACCUCCAAAGCAGUGAGUAAUAUUGGACCACUUUUGCUUGCUAUUCUGUCCUACCCUUCCUUAGAAUUGGAGGAAAAUACUGGGCACCUGUCAGGUAGUUAAAAACGUUAGCAUGGUGCUGGACUUAAGACUCAGGUAUGAGGCUGUCUGGGAUAGAGCUUUCUAACAAUCUCAACCCUUCUUGGUCGGGAGCAUUGGUCUGCCUAGAACCAGCAUCCUCUUUGAUUAUUCCUGGGGAAGCAGAGGGCUAACUAGAGGCAGAAAGCUGUCAUCCCUAACUCCCAGCAUUAGCUGUUUGAGAUCAUGGUGCAGCCAGAAGUCUCUACUCAACAGUCGCCCAUGCGUGUGCCCCCACCUUUCCUUCUGAUCUAUACCUCCUGGGUCCUGACCAUGACUUUCUUGAAAGUGUAGCCCCAAAAUUCUCCUUACUUCUGAAUCUACUUCCUCCAAUCCCUGCCUCCUAAUUAAUAAUGGUUCAGACUUUCAUUUCCUCUAGCAAGUUGUAUCUCCAAAGGGAUCUAAGGAAGCUCUAAGCUGCAUCCUUAGGCCCCUAGGCUAUGAACCCAGAGAGUCUUUUCCCUGAUAUCCCUCCCAAUUUAUGCAUACAGCUCUCAACAUGGGCAGUUAUGUGGGACCCAUUCCCCACUACCCUUGCCAAGGCCCCAGGUUUCUAAAGGGCUAGCAGAAAACAGAGAGACAGAGGGGAGAGAAAGAGAGAGAGGCAAAGCAAGAGUCAAAAAGAGAAAGAAAGAAGAAAGAGAAAGAAAGAUAGAAGAAAAAAACAGUGUGCCCUAUUCCUUUAAAAGCCAGGGUAAAUUUAAAGCCUGUAAUUGAUAAUUGAAGGUCUUCUCCAAGACCCUAUAACACUCCAAUACUACCUUGUUGGCAUUGUAAACAAGGUCAUAACCUGAAAACACUGAGACCACUGGCAACUCGUAGCCAUCCUAUCAAAAAUCCUUAACCCAGGAACCUACAGAUGGCCCAAAUGCAUUCAAUUUGUAGCAGUAACUACUUUGCUAACAGAAGAAAGUAGAAAAGUAACUUUUGGGCGAAACCUCUUUGUGAGCACAUCUCACCAUUUCAGAAUUAUUCUAAGUCAAAAAAGCAUAAAGGUAGCUUACUAACUCAAAAAUCUUAAAGUAUGGGGCUAUUCUUUAGAAAAAGGUGAUUUAACAUUAACCACUGAAAAUUCCCUUAACCCAGCAGAUAUCCUAACAGGGAAUUUAAAUCUUAAUUGCCAUACAAAAGUCCGACCACACCUACGAGGAACUCCCUUCAGGACAGGAGGAUAGAUGGUUCAUCCCAGGUGAUUGAGGGGGAAAAAACAAAAAUACAAUGGUUAUUCAGUAAUUGAUAGGGAGACUCUUGUGGAAGCAGAGUUAGGAAAAUUGCCUAAUAAUUGGUCUGCUCAAACGUGCUAGCUGUGUGCACUCAGCCAAACAUUAAAGUACUUACAGAAUCAAAAAGACUGUACCUCAAUCCUGACUCAAAAGGUUACCUACACCCUCUCUGAAAUAAAUUUGCGUAAGAACUGUUGUUUAUAGCAAUGCAUAUUGAUGGGGCAGCUGGGUUGUUAUGAAAUACUCAGGAACCCAGCCCAGCUCUAGAACUCACCUAUGAGUACAAAGGCAAUGUUGGGCACACUUGGUAAAGGACCACUAGAAUCCAGCAGCCCAGACCACUUUCUUUCUUGGUGGUCAAGAAGGGCAGGAAAACAGGUACAGUACUGCCGCAUUGGUGAGCAUAACUUAUCCAUUAAGCAGAAGUCCAUUGGUGGUUACACACCCUGGAAAAGUAUAAGCAUUAUGACCAUAGAGGACACUCUAGGACUAAUGCUCAUCAGAAAAUGACUGGGGUGCUGAUAUUCCCCCCAAGGCAAACAUUCCCUCCAAGGCAAAGAUGCCCCAAAGAUGUAUUCUGGAGUAUUCAGCCCAGUCAGAGAAUAUGUACCUGUUUCCUUGUCAGACUUGAAGAAAAUUGAAAUAGACCUAAGUAAAUUCUCAGAUAACCUUGAUGGCUAUGUUAAUGUUUUGUAAGGGUUAGGACAAUCCUUUGACCUGACAUGGAGAGAAAUAAUGUUACUGCUAGAUUGGACGCUAACCCCAAAUGAGAUAAGUGCCACCAUAACUGCAGCCUGAGAGUUUGGCAAUCUCUGCUCUCUCCAUCAGGUCAAUGAUAGGAUGACAACAGAGGAAAGAGAACAAUUCCCCACAGGCCAGCAGGCAGUUCCCAGUGUAGACCCUCAAUGGGAUGCAGAAUCAGCAAAUGUAGAUUUGUGCCACAGACAUUUGCUAAUUUGUGUGCUAGAAAGAUUGAGAAAAACUAGGAAGAAGCCUAUAAAUUAUUCAAUGAUGUCCACUAUAACACAGGGAAAGGAAGAACAGCCUACUGCCUUUCUGGAGAGACUAAGAAAGCCGCUGAGGAAGCAUACCUCUCUGUCACCUGACUGUGUUAAAGGCCAACUAAUAUUAAAGGAUAACUUUAUCACUCAUUCAGUUGCAGACAUUAGAAAAAAACUUCAAAAGUCCACCUUUGGCCUGGAGCAAAACUUACUAUACCCUAUUGAACUUGGCAACCUCAUUUUUUUAUAAUAGAGAUCAGGAAGAGCAGGCGGCAAAUUGAAUGCCUAAUGGGGCUUGCUUCCAGUGCAGUCUGCAAGGACACUUUAAAAAGAUUGUCCAAAUAGAAAUAAGCCACCCCCUCAUCCAUGCCCCUUAUGUCAAGGGAAUCACUGGAAGGCCCGCUGCCCCAGGGGAUGAAGGUUCUCUGAGUCAGAAGCCACUAAACAGAUGAUCCAGCAGCAGGACUGAGGGUGCCCAGGGCAAGUGCCAGCCAAUGCCAUCACCCUCACAGAGCCCCAGGUAUGCUUGACCAUUGAGGGCCAGGAGGUUAACUGUCUCCUGGACACUGGCAUGGACUUCUCAGUCUUACUCUUCUGUCCUGGACAACUGUCCUCCAGAUCUGUCACUAUCAGAAGGGUCCUAGUAUAGCCAGUCACUAGAUACUUCUCCCAGCCACUAAGUUGGGACUGGGGAACUUUACUUUCACAUGCUUUUCUAAUUAUACCUGAAAGCCCCACUCCCUUAUUAGGGAGAGACAUUCUAGCAGAAGCAGGGGUCAUUAUACACCUGAACAUAGGAGAAGGAACACCUGUUUGUUUCCACCUGCAUGAGGAAGGAAUUAAUCCUGAAGUCUGAUCAACAGAAGGACAAUAUGGAUGAGCAAAGAAUGCCUGUCCUGUUCAAGUUAAACUAAAGGAUGCUGCCUCCUUUCCCUACCAAAGGCAGUAUCCCCAUAGACCCAAAGUCCAACAAGGACUCCAAAAGGUUGUUGAGGACCUAAAAGCCCAAGGCCUAAUAAAACCAUGGACUAGCCCCUGCAAUACUCCAAUUUUAGGAGUACAGAAAUCUAAUGGACAGUGGAGGUUAGUGCAAGAUCUCAGGAUUAUCACUGAGGCCACUGUCCCUCUGUACCCAGCUGUACCUAAACCUUAUACUCUACUUUCCCAAAUACCAGAGGAAGUAGAGUGUUUUGCAGUCCUGGACCUUAAGGAUGCCUUUUUCUGCAUCCCUGCACAUCCUACCUCAAUUCUUGUUUGCCUUUGAAGAUCCUGGAAACCCAAUGUCUCAACUCACUUGGACUGUUUUACCCCAAGGGUUCAGGGAAAGCCCCCAUCUGUUCACUCAGGCAUUAGCCCAAGACUUGAGCCAUUUCUCCUACCUGGACACUCUUGUCCUUCAGUAUGCGGAUGAUUGAUUGAUUGACUGAUUGAUUGAUUUUGAGAUGGAGUCUCCCUCUGUCACCCAGGCUGGAGUACAGUAGUGCAAUCUUGGCUCACUGCAAGCUCCGCUUCUCAGGUUCACACCAUUCUCCUCCCUCAGCCUCCCCAGCAGCUGGGACUACAGGUGCACACCGCCACACCCGACUAAUUUUUUGUAUUUUUAGUAGAUACAGGGUUUCACCAUGUUAGCCAGGAUGGUCUUGAUCUCCUGAACUUGUGAUCCACCCACCUUGGCCUCUCAAAGUGCUGGGAUAAUAGAUGUGAGCCACUGUGCCCAGUCGUGGAUGAUUUACUUUUAGCCACCCAUUCAGAAACCUUGUGCCAUCAAGCCAUACAAGCGCUGUUAAAUUUCCUCACCACCUGUGGCUACAAAGUUUCCAAACAAAAGCCUCAGCUCUGCUCACAGCAGGUUGCAUACUUAGGGCUAAAAUUACCCAAGGGCACCAGGGCCCUCAAUGAGGAACUUACCCAGCCUAUACUGGCUUAUCCUCAUCCCAAAACCCUAGAGCAACUGAGAAGUUCCUUGGAAUAACAGGCUUCUGCUGAAUAUGGAUUCCCAGGUAUGGCGAAAUAGCCAGGCCAUUAUAUACAUUAAUUAAGGAAACUCAGAAAGCCAAUACGCAUUUAGUAAGAUGGACACCUGAAACAAAAGUGGCUUUCCAUGCUCUAAAGAAGGCCCUAACCCAAGCCCCAGUGUUAAGCUUGCCAAUGGGGCAAGACUUUUCUUUAUAUGUCAGAGAAAAAACAGGAAUAGCUUUAGGAGUCUUUACAGAGGUUUGAGGGACCAGCUUGCAACCUGUGGCAUACCUGAGUGAGAAAAUUGAUGUAGUGGCAAAGGAUUGGCCUCACUGUUUACAGGUAGUGGUGGCAGUAGCAGUCUUAGUAUCUGAAGCAGUUAAAAUUAUACAGGGAAGAGAUCUUACUGUGUGGACAUCUCAUGAUAUAAAUGGCAUACUCACUGCUAAAGGAGACUUGUGGCUGUCAGACAACCAUUUGCUUAAAUAUCAGGCUCUAUUAAUUGAAGGGCCAGUGCUGUGACUGCGUACUUUUGCAGCUCUUAACCCACACACAUUUAUUCCAGACAAUGAGGAAAAGAUAGAACAUAACUGUCAACAGGUGAUUGCUCAAACCUACGCUGCUCAAGGGGUCCUUCUAGAGGUUCCCUUGACUGAUCCCUAUCUCAACUUGUAUACUGAUGGAAGUUCCUUUGUAGAAAAAGGAUUUUGAAAUGUGGGGUACGCAAUGGUCAGUGAUAAUGGAAUACUUGAAAGUAAUCCCCUCACUCCAGGAACUAGCACUCAGCUGGCCGAACUAAUAGCCCUCACUAGGGCACUAGAAUUAGGAAAAUGAAAAGGGGUAAAUUUAUAUACAGAUUCUUAAGUAUGCUUACUUAGUCCUCCAUGCCCAUGCAACAAUAUAGAGAGAAAGGGAAUUCCUAACUUCUGAAGGAACACCUAUCAAACAUCAGGAAGCCAUUAGGGGAUUAUUAUUGGCUAAACCUAAAGAUGUGGCCGUCUUACACAGCUGAGGUCAUCAGAAAGGAAUGGAAAGGGAAAUAGAAGGGAACUGCCAAGUGCAUAUUGAAGCCAAAAGAGCUGCAAAGCAGGAUCCUCCAUUAGAAAUGCUUAUGGAAGGACCCCUAGUAAGGUGUAAUCCCCUCUGUAAAACCAAGCCCCAGUACUCAGCAGGAGAAAUAGUAUAGGAAAACCCAUGAGGACAUAGUUUCCUCCCCUCAGGAUAGCUAUCCACCAAGGAAGGAAAAAUACUUUUUCCUACAACUAACCAAUGGAAAUUGCUUAAAAUCUUUCACCAAACCUUUCACUUAGGCAUUGGUAGCACCCAUUGGAUGGCCAAAUUAUUAUUUACUGGAUGAGUCCUUUUCAAAACUAUCAAGCAGAUAGUCAGGGCCUGUGAAGUGUGCCAAAGAAAUAAUCCCCUGCACUGCAGGCCAUUUGAAUCCCUAUAUCUUUAACUUCCUUGUUAAGUGUGUCUCUUCCAGAAUCGAAGCUGUAAAACUACGAAUCAUUCUUCAGAUGGAGCCACAGAUUCAGUCCAUGACUAAGAUCUACCACAGACCCCUGGACCAGCCUGCUAGCCCAUGCUCCGACAUUGAUGACAUCAAAGGCACCCCUCACAGGGAAAUCUCAACUCCACAACCCCUACUACAAUACAAUUCAGCAGGAAACAAAGUGAUCAUUGGCCAACCUCCCCAACAGCACUUGGGAUUUCCUGUCGAGAAGGGGGACUGAGAAGUAGAACUAACUGGAUUUCCUAGGUCGACUAAGAAUCCCUAAGCCUAGCUGUGAAGGUGACCGCAUCCACCUUUAAACACAGGGCUUGCAACUUAGCUCACACCCAACCAUUCAAGUAGAAAAGAGAGCUCACUAAAAUGAUAAUUAGGUAAAAACAGGAGGUAAAGAAAUAGCCAAUCAUCUAUCACCUAAGAACACAGUGGGAGGGACAAUGAUGGGAUAUGCACCCAGGCAUUGGAGCCAGCAAUGGAUCCCCUCCUUUUGUAUGGGAGCUCUGUAUUCACGCUAUUAUAAAGUCUUACAUCUGCACAUUCUUCUGGUCCAUGUUUGUUAUGGCUCAAGCUGAGCUUUUGCUCUCUGUCCACUCCUGCUCUUUGCUGCCAUUGCAGACCCACCACUGACUUACACCCCUCCAGAUCCAGCAGGGUGUCAGCUGUGCUCCUCAUCCAGUGAGGCACCUAUUGCUGCUCCUGAUUGGACUAAAGGCUUGCCAUUGUUCCUGCAUGGCUAAGUGCCUGGGUUUGUCCUAAUUGAGCUGAACACUAGUCCCUGGGUUCCACAGUUCUCUUCUGUGACCCACGACUUCUAAUAGAGCUAUAACACUCACUGCAUGGCCCAAGAUUCCAUUCCUUGGAAUCCGUGAGGCCAAGAACCCCAGAUCAGAGAAGAAGAGGCUUGCCACCAUCUUGGAAGUGACACAAGAUGCCAUCUGGGGAGCUCUAGGAGCAAGGACCCCUUGGUAGCACUUCCAGCUCAGCCUCCCAAAUCACGCUAUUACAAGCAUGAGCCACUCUUUGUGGCCGCCACCUACUUUUUGAACUCCAAUUGUAUUAAACACCAUAAUAGACACUUUUGUCUGUUAUAUUUCAUGGAUCAUAAACUUUUUUAUGUAUAAUUUUACCUUUUAUUUUAGAUUCGGGUGGUACAAAUGCAGGUGUUUUACAUGGGUAUAUCAUGUGACACCAAGGUUUGGAAUACAGAUGAUCCCAUCACCCAAGUGCUGAGCAUAGAAUCCAACUGUUAGUUUUUCAGCCUUGCCCCCUCCAUCUCUCCACACUCUAAUAUUCCCUAAUAUCUACUGUUCCUAAAUUUAUGUCGAUGUAUAUAUUAUAUUUCUUAGAGUUCCCUGAAUAAUGGUCAGGGAAGGUAAUGUGAAUGAUGCAAAGAUGAUUAUGAAUAAAAUAUUCAGUUUUCUGGAGUGAGCAGGACACUUUUUCAUGCAAAAUUCCAUUUGAAUCCUCCACCUCCAGCCAGCGCGGUGUAGGGAGAGGAAGAGAGACAGACCUAUUAAAAGUUAUAUUUGUUCUCUUGCAGUCUUGUGACUUACUUCUUAAUGAAAACCCUUAUUGUUUUAUAAGAAAAGGAGAAUGAAUGCAGUGUUUGAGAUGGAGUUAUCUAGAAUUUUUAGAAGCAUAAACAGACAUUGAAAAAUUAUAGAAAACAAAGGCAGAAAAGCAGAAAAGACAUAGUAGGUCAGAUGGUAUUUUAGGCAAAUACACCAUAAACUGGCCACCCAGGUCUGCAUCUCUAGGGCUUUCCCAAAGAGGAGCAAAGCAGUUUAUAUUCUAUUAUUAUCACCACCAUCACCUUUAUUUCCCCCCUUACAUGAUGGAUGUCAAUAUCAUGAUCAUUCUCGUUGUCUGUAUAACCGUCAUCAUCAUCAUUAAUACCUCAUAAAUUUUUUCAUGUUAUUUUUAACAUAGUUAGAAAGAAAGAGAUUUUGGGCCUCCCAAAUCACUAAGCUAAAAGGAAAAGUCAAGCUGGAAACUGCUCAGGGCAAACCUGCCUUCCAUUCUAUGCAAAGUCACCGUCUGUUCACUAAGACAGAUGUAUAUUCUGAUUGCUUCUUUUGGAAAGACUUAUCAGAAACUCAAAUGAAUGCAACCAUUUUUCUCUCAGCUACUUGUGACCUGGAAGCCAGUUCCCUGCUUCUGUUGUCCCCAUCUUUCUGGAAGAAGCUAAUAUACUUCUUACAUAUAUUGAUUGAUGUCUCAUAUCUCUCUACAAUGUAUAAAACUAAGCUGUUCCCCUACCAACUUGGGCACAUGUCAUCAGGACUUCCUGAGGUUGUGUCAUGGAUGUACGUCCUAAAUCUUGGCAAAAUAAACUUUCUAAAUUAAACCAG